AUUCCGGCUCCAAUAGCGUAUAUUAAUGUUGUUGCAGUUAAAAAGCUCGUAGUUGGAUUUCUGGAUUGAGCGGCUGGCCUUGCGCGCAAGCGUUCGUGUCGGCUUCGUUUCGGUCCAUCCUCAGGGGGACUUGCGCUGGCAUUAACGUGUCGGUGUUGGGACGCCUGUCGUUUACUGUGAACAAAUUAGAGUGUUCAAAGCAAGGUGUACUUGAAUACAUUAGCAUGGAAUAAUAAGAUAGGACUUUGGUGGUUCUUUUUGAUAUUUUGUUGGUUUGCACGCCAAAGUAAUGAUUAAUAGGAGCAGUUGGGGGUAUUCGUAUUCAAUUGUCAGAGGUGAAAUUCUUGGAUUUAUAGAAGACGAACUACUGCGAAAGCAUUUACCAAGGAUGUUUUCAUUA
rnacentral:rRNA from 1 species